GACGAACGCUGGCGGCGUGCUUAACACAUGCAAGUCGAACGGAAAGGCCCUGCUUUUGUGGGGUGCUCGAGUGGCGAACGGGUGAGUAACACGUGAGUAACCUGCCCUUGACUUUGGGAUAACUUCAGGAAACUGGGGCUAAUACCGGAUAGGAGCUCCUGCUGCAUGGUGGGGGUUGGAAAGUUUCGGCGGUUGGGGAUGGACUCGCGGCUUAUCAGCUUGUUGGUGGGGUAGUGGCUGACCAAGGCUUUGACGGGUAGCCGGCCUGAGAGGGUGAACGGCCACAUUGGGACUGGGAUACGGCCCAGACUCCUACGGGAGGGAGCAGUGGGGAAUAUUGCACAAUGGGCGGAAGGCUGACGCAGCAACGCCGCGUGCGGGAUGACGGCCUUCGGGUUGUAAACUGAUUUCGCCUGUGACGAAGCGUGAGUGACGGUAAUGGGUAAAGAAGCACCGGCUAACUACGUG
rnacentral:rRNA from 1 species